AGAUUGUUAAACCUGCUAUGUACUCCUAGAAGUGGGCUGUGAGCUCUUUUGGAAGAAUCCUGCUUCUUCUGCCUUGAAUGCUAUUACCUGCUGCCACAUCUGCCCCAAAUUGCUUUCAAAGGAAGUAUUCUCACCGGUUUUAUUUUAUCUGGAGAGCAUUCCUCUCCCUGGACAUUUCCACCAGGACUCUCCUAUUUUGGCUAGAUGAGAUACAUCUUCAUCCCUAAGUCACCACAGUGCUGAAGAGGUGAGCUCA
rnacentral:lncRNA from 1 species